UAGAAGUCAGGUCGGAUUAAGCCAUAGCACGGAAAAAACUAUGCUACCUGUGAGCCCCGUCCAAGGACGUUAAAAGAAGUCAGGCCAUCAUAAAUGCCAUAGCUUGAGUAAACUAUGCUGCCUGUAGCUCCACCUGAGAAGGUGUAAAAAAAUCUGGGAGGCCACAAACCAUGGAAGCUGUACGCAUGGCAUAGUGGACUAGCGGUUAGAGGAGACCCCUCCCUUACAAAUCGCAGCAACAAUGGGGGCCCAAGGCGAGAUGAAGCUGUAAUCUCGCUGGAAGGACUAGAGGUUAGAGGAGACC
rnacentral:lncRNA from 1 species